ACAGGUUUUCCACUAGUUACCACAGCCACAAAGUAGAAAUGGCCCAUUUCGUAAAAUCUAUGAAAGCAGAAACGUGCUUUUUAGUCUUCGUUUUGGGUUAGGGUUAUGCAUAAGGUUAGCAGUGUGGUUAAGGUUUCAAAUUAGAUUUUAAGAUGAUACAUUUUAGGAAUAGGCAGGUUCAUGACUUUGUGGCUGUGGUAACUAGUGACGACCAACAAACACCAACGGAACACAAAUCUGCAAAGACCGCAAAUAUUUCUCACCUCCUUGAAGGAUACUCACUGCUCAAAGAUUUCAAUUGAGUUUUUGUUCAUUUCAUUAAGUAGUUAGUCGCCCGAUGUUAUUGAUAUGCAGCCAGGAGUACAAGUAACGUUAGAUUCUUAAACUAUGUUUAUGGAGCCUACCUUAUGCAACUGAUGACCUAGAAAUGGCUGGCUAGCUGGAACCGACUCGCAAUGGAAAUUGCAUUCACGUUGACGUGGUUAAGAAAGCCCUUGGAUUCUGCUCCCUGUCCAGGCCCCAAAACGCUGAAUGAACCGCAGAGCAAAAACUCCGGCGUUAGCAGAGACCAAAACACGACAGCCACGAAUCAUCAGCUGCGGUACGGGUUGGAAUGGAAACAGCGACACCCCCGGUAGCUGUCACUCUCACAUCUGUCAGACGUUGAACUGUCAAUGUUUUUAUUCUGGUUUUAUUACCAUUUUCAAAAACGCAUGUAAGGACAUAUUCAUAGCUAUGUAUUAUAUCACCAUGUUUGUUUUGUUUAGCCAACUGUUCUAAUGUUUACAAUGUGCAACCAGGCAGUCAUGAUGGAAUAGAAAUACUUUAAUACCACACAUUCAUAUUGAUACUUUAUCCCAAAAGGCUUUAGGACAAGAACAUACUACUGACUACAUGCUGAAAUCUUGCUCCCAAACAUAUCCCUUCCAAGUCAGUUUUAAGAACAAAACAGUUCAUUCUUUUCUAACCAACAUUCACAUUGGUGCCCAACAAUUCACAUUUAAAAUAUUGAGCUUAUUCUUGGCAGUAGAGUUUGGGCAAGUAAAAAAGCUUUCUAACCCAAGUCAUAUGAAUAAUAACACUUGGCUGUUUAGGUAGAAGAAACUGGCUGUGGUAGAUGGUGAGGGUGUUGCUAGAAUCUUUAUCUAUUUGAAUCUCCAAAUCUCCAAACUACUCCAGCUACUACUCCAGCUCUCUAUGGUUUAGGAGCAUAUCUUUCGUAAAACCUGCUCAAUUUAAAGGUUAAAACAUGCAGGCCCAAAAUGAUGCUCCAGAGCUUUUGUAUAAUUUGAGCCAGUAGUUUUAAAAGUAGUUCUCAUGAACCCAACAAGUCCCUGAAAAUUGUGCACAAUUGUAUGUUACGUCAUCCACUUAAGAUCCCGGACUACAUCUUUAAGACACAUGUUGGUUCUGCUCUAGGCCACACACAGCAUCUGGAAGUGCAGUAUGAGUGUCAUUAAGACAGACAGCAAGAAACAAAUGAAUACUACAUUGGAAGGUGUAAGACAUUUAGCCAACUUAAAGGUAUAGACAGUCAUUUCAGGUACCCUACCAGUAAUAUAAUAGGUGAUAAAAAAAUACAAGAAGUAGAACUGGCAGAGACAGGUAUGGCAAGAGAGAAUAAUGGAUAUUUGGCAAGGUUACAGUACAUUGGAGGCUGAUAUACUGUAACUUUCUAUAGAUCUAACAGUGUUGGUCCAUUUAUAUUGUACAUUUAUCCUAUGGCUUUGAGCUACUGUUAAGGCAAACCUGUAGAAAAUCAGAGUCUGGAAAUUCAUUUUCUCCAUAUCUGUUUUUAUCUUGCCCACUAAAAAUGGUAUUGGAACAUACAGUGAGCUCCAAAAGUAUUGGAACAGUGACCAUUUUUGUUGUUGUUUUAGCUCUGUA